AAAAUUUAAAGUAAAAUUAAUUAUUUUGGAAAAAAGAUUUAAUGCUAAUGGCAUUAGAUUGUAAAUAAGUGUCAAGUAGAGGAUUUAUUUGCUAAAAUGGCUGCAAAAAUGUAUAUAUAAAUU
rnacentral:sRNA from 1 species